UACGGAGGGUGCAAGCGUUGUUCGGAAUCACUGGGCGUAAAGGGCGUGUAGGCGGUCAUGUAAGUGGGAUGUGAAAGCCCUCGGCUCACCCGAGGAUCUGCAUCUCAAACUGCAUGGCUUGAGUAUGGGAGAGGAUGAGGGAAUUCCUGGUGUAGCGGUGAAAUGCGUAGAUAUCAGGAGGAACACCGGUGGCGAAGGCGCUCAUCUGGCCCAAUACUGACGCUGAGGCGCGAAAGCUAGGGGAGCAAACGGG
rnacentral:rRNA from 1 species